AUCUUCAUUCCUUCGUCAUUCUGCCUCUCCGUUGCCCUCCAUCCACCAACAGCCAUCGCCCGACAUGCACACUGAGAAGGGGCAAAGAACAAAGCGAGGUGAUCGAAGGUACUCGGGUGAUUUUUUAGCGUCCAUGAGUCAACUGUCUCGGUGAUUUCAAUUGAAUCCUUUUCUGCUGGCUUCGUUGCUGGUCGUCACUGCUACCCGAUUCCCGCCACCAGUUUUGCCGCCGCGGAGAAGAUUCGAGGAAAUCUCUCGACGAAGCUGGUCAUUGGGGCCCCUCAAAAUAUUUGCCUGGACGACACUUGAAAUACCAAAAUUCUCUCCCUCUCCUUAGACGCUCACCAUUCAAGGCUUGUUUGAAGAGCUAUUGCUUAGAUUUAAUUGAUCCUUUAAGUGCAUGUGUUUGUGCCAACAUACUGUACAUCUACACAGCACAAAUUGUGGCCUACUUAUUCAUGAUGUCCUUUCCUUCCUUGGAAUGUUCACUGCCCACUGCCAUUUGGAAUGAUGUUUCAAAGAUAUGAUUUUUGUUUUCCUCCCUCCCUCAUAGAAUUCGCAAAAGCAACCCUCAAGCAAGGCAGCCUCAAAGCUUACUGCAAUAGCUUAAGAGGGUUGCUUUUGCAAAUUUCUAUGGGGGAGGGAAGAUUAGUCGCCAGCACUACUGGUACCCUGCCCUCGAAAUUCAUCAGGACCCUAGCCAUAUGUUCCGCUAGAGUAGGUGCAUGGUUCCAAUGGUGUCUCCUAUAAACCAUUCUGCACUGGAGGUGCAGAGCUCCAUCUAUCUCCUUGUAGCAGGUCUCUCUGCUGUUGACAGGAAUUGUUGUUAUGAACUUGCUGAUUGUAGUUUCCCUAGUAUGAAUGCACCGGAUCUCUCUUC